rnacentral:tRNA from 1 species
GAGGGUGUAGUUCAGUGGUAAAGCACAUGCUUAGCAUGCACGAGUCCUGGGUACAAUCCCCAGUACCUUCA